rnacentral:rRNA from 1 species
AGCCCGCUGUGCAGGCCUAACACAUGCAGUCGAACGGUAACAGGAAGAAGCUUGCUUCUUUGCUGACGAGUGGUGGACGGGUGAGUAAUGUCUGGGAAACUGCCUGAUGGAGGGGGAUAACUACUGGAAACGGUAGCUAAUACCGCAUAACGUCGCAAGACCAAAGAGGGGGACCUUCGGGCCUCUUGCCAUCGGAUGUGCCCAGAUGGGAUUAGCUAGUAGGUGGGGUAACGGCUCACCCAGGCGACGAUCCCUAGCUGGUCUGAGAGGAUGACCAGCCACACUGGAACUGAGACACGGUCCAGACUCCUACGGGAGGCAGCAGUGGGGAAUAUUGCACAAUGGGCGCAAGCCUGAUGCAGCCAUGCCGCGUGUAUGAAGAAGGCCUUCGGGUUGUAAAGUACUUUCAGCGGGGAGGAAGGGAGUAAAGUUAAUACCUUUGCUCAUUGACGUUACCCGCAGAAGAAGCACCGGCUAACUCCGUGCCAGCAGCCGCGGUAAUACGGAGGGUGCAAGCGCUAAUCGGAAUUACUGGGCGUAAAGCGCACGCAGGCGGUUUGUUAAGUCAGAUGUGAAAUCCCCGGGCUCAACCUGGGAACUGCAUCUGAUACUGGCAGGCUUGAGUCUCGUAGAGGGGGGUAGAAUUCCAGGUGUAGCGGUGAAAUGCGUAGAGAUCUGGAGGAAUACCGGUGGCGAAGGCGGCCCCCUGUACGAAGACUGACGCUCAGGUGCGAUAGCGUGGCGAGCACACAGGAUUAGAUACACUGGUAGUCCACGCCGUAGACGAUGUCGACUUGUAGGUUGCGCCCUUGAGGCGUGGCUUCCGGAGCUGACGGCGUUAAUGUCGACUGCCUGAGAAGUACGGCCCGCAAAGCUUAAAAACUCAAA